GCACUUCUGAGGAAUCCUAUAAUAGGACGAAACGGCCGUCCAGUGC
rfam:Schistosoma mansoni strain Puerto Rico chromosome 2, complete genome